rnacentral:rRNA from 1 species
CCCUUAGAUGUUCUGGGCCGCACGUGCGCUACACUGACGGAUUCAACGAGCUUACAACCUUGGCCGAAAGGUCUGGGUAAUCUCCAAAAUCCGUCGUGAUGGGGAUAGAUUAUUGCAAUUAUUAAUCUUCAACGAGGAAUGCCUAGUAAGCGCAAGUCAUCAGCUUGCGUUGAUUACGUCCCUGCCCUUUGUACACACCGCCCGUCGCUCCUACCGAUUGAAUGGUCCGGUGAAGCGUUUGGACUAUGGUUUUCUGAUGGUCCGCCGUUGGAUUACCGUGGGAAGUUCGUUAAACCUUAUCAUUUAGAGGAAGGAGAAGUCGUAACA